GACGAACGCUGGCGGCGUGCUUAACACAUGCAAGUCGAACGGUGAAGCGCCUUCCUUUUUGGUGGGUGUGGAUGAGUGGCGAACGGGUGAGUAACACGUGAGUAACCUGCCCCCUUCUUCUGGAUAACCGCAUGAAAGUGUGGCUAAUACGGGAUAUUCUGGGUCUGUCGCAUGAUGGGUCUGGGAAAGAUUUUGUUUCGGUGGGGGAUGGUCCCGCGGCCUAUCAGCUUGUUGGUGGGGUGAUGGCCUACCAAGGCGGUGACGGGUAGCCGGCCUGAGAGGGUGGACGGUCAUACUGGGACUGAGACACGGCCACGACUCCUACGGGAGGCAGCAGGGGGGAAUAGUGCACAAUGGGCGCAAGCCUGAUGCAGCGACGCCGCGUGAGGGAUGGAGGCCUUCGGGUUGUGAACCUCUUUCGCCAGUGAAGCAGGCCUGCCUAGUUUGUGGGUGGGUUGACGGUAGCUGGAUAAGAAGCGCCGGCUAACUACGUG
rnacentral:rRNA from 1 species